GACAAUCAGCCGAUCAUAGU
rnacentral:sRNA from 1 species